UACGUAGGGCGCAAGCGUUAUCCGGAAUUAUUGGGCGUAAAGAGCUCGUAGGCGGUUUGUCGCGUCUGCUGUGAAAGACCGGGGCUCAACUCCGGUUCUGCAGUGGGUACGGGCAGACUAGAGUGCAGUAGGGGAGACUGGAAUUCCUGGCGUAGCGGUGAAAUGCGCAGAUAUCAGGAGGAACACCGAUGGCGAAGGCAGGUCUCUGGGCCACUACUGACGCUGAGAAGCGAAAGCGUGGGGAGCGAACAGG
rnacentral:rRNA from 1 species